GGCGAUGAAGACAAUUUCGCUAGCUGAUGCGUGAUGAGUACCCUCGCAGCUGAGC
rnacentral:snoRNA from 2 species